AGAGGUGUAGGUCAGUAGUAGAGCACUUGCCUAGCAUGUGCAAGGCUCUGGGUUCCAUUCCCAGCACCACAA
rnacentral:tRNA from 1 species